CGUGGAGCGAUUUGUCUGGUUUAUUCCGAUAACGAGCGAGACUCUAGCCUACUAAAUAGUUCGCACAUUGUCAACUUGUGUGCGCCUACUUCUUAGAGGGAUUUUCGGUGUUCAGCCGCACGAGAUUGAGCAAUAACAGGUCUGUGAUGCCCUUAGAUGUCCGGGGCUGCACGCGCGCUACACUGGCGAAAUCAGCGUGCUUGUCCUUUCUCGAAAGGGAUUGGUAAACCAUUGAAAAUUUGCCGUGAUUGGGAUCGGAAAUUGCAAUUAUUUUCCGUGAACGAGGAAUUCCAAGUAAGUGCGAGUCAUCAACUCGCGUUGAAUACGUCCCUGCCCUUUGUAC
rnacentral:rRNA from 1 species